AUGGCAGGUCAAACUCCCCAAUUUACUUUACCCCUCUUACAAUCAUUCGCAUCUUUGCACCUGCCUGGAGGCUGCCUGCCUCGGUCCCUCUCAUAUAAUGCUGUCCCUCCCCUCGCCUCCCGGCCUUUCUCUCCCUCCCCCGGUGCUCCGAUCGAUCAUCCCAUUCGCCCGCCGUCAUCACUGCCAUCCUCCACGCCUGCCCCCCUCUCCUUUUACAAUUACACCACCACAAGUGAACCCACAAUCCGCCGCUACUUAAGCGCGCCUCGCACAACCCUACCUUGCUUCUUCUUGCUUUCCUCCACGCGCGCCACCCCACUCUUUGCUAACUUCUAUAUCCACCACGCCAGGCGUAAAUCGAGUUGCUACUUCAUGGGCCUCGAGCUCGAUCAGCUUGAGCUUUUGUCUCACCAGCUCCCUCCGGUCCGGACGUCCGCAACCGACGACGGCGCGACCGCCGCGGACGAUGAAGACCGGUGUGCCACGCCGACGUCGGAGGCGAACAUGCUGCGCGCGCCGUCGCUGUGCCCUCCGGCGCCGAGGAAGCCCAGGCCGGCGCGGGCCAAGAGGACGCAGCAGCACUGCUACUACCGCGUGCGGCGCCGGUGGUGCAGCAGCGGGCCGGCGCACGCGCGGUACUGGAUCGUCGCCGUGCCACACGACCUCGCCGCCGUGUUCGUCGCGCGGCGGCCGCCCUCUCCUUCGAGCUCGCCGUGCCGGCCGCCGGAAGCCAAGAAGAUCCGAGUGCACGUCGUAGGCUGA
rnacentral:rRNA from 1 species